rnacentral:sRNA from 1 species
GCUGGACGCGGUGGUGCACACCUGUAAUCCAAGCAACUCAGAAGGCUGAGGCAGGAGGAUCACGAGUUCAAAGCCAGCCUCAGCAACUUAUCAAGUCCCUAAGCAACUCAGUGAGACCCUGUCUCUA